rnacentral:rRNA from 1 species
AGUGAACGCUGGCGGUAGGCCUAACACAUGCAAGUCGAACGGCAGCACAGGAGAGCUUGCUCUCUGGGUGGCGAGUGGCGGACGGGUGAGGAAUACAUCGGAAUCUACUUUUUCGUGGGGGAUAACGUAGGGAAACUUACGCUAAUACCGCAUACGACCUACGGGUGAAAGCAGGGGACCUUCGGGCCUUGCGCGAUUGAAUGAGCCGAUGUCGGAUUAGCUAGUUGGCGGGGUAAAGGCCCACCAAGGCGACGAUCCGUAGCUGGUCUGUGAGGAUGAUCCGCCACACUGGAACUGGGACAAGGUCCAGACGCCUACUGGAGGCAGCAGUGGGGAAUAUUGGACAAUAGGCGCAAGCCUGAUCCAGCCAUACCGCGUGGGUGAAGAAGGCCUUCGGGUUGUAAAGCCCUUUUUUUGGUACAGAAAUCCAGCUGGCUAAUACCCGGUUGGGAUGACGGUACCCAAAGAAUAAGCACCGGCUAACUUCGUGCCAGCAGCCGCCGCUG